rnacentral:lncRNA from 1 species
UUCAACAGGCGCCAACUUCCUUUCCGCCUUCUUUGUGCCCUAACGGCAACUUCCCUCCCUCACCUCUCAUGAUCCCUGAUCGUUUGUCUUUUUUGCUCAUUCUUCUUCGCAGUGUCCACUCAAUGCUUCCUCUCACCAGACACCAACACUUUGAACUUCCAUCUUCUAAUCACAAACAACCCUCCUUUUUUUCUCUCUGUUCCCUAAAUCAAAACAGUGGAAGCUUCCAUCUACACAGCUUCAUCUGUCAUUUUGAAUUGACUCUCUUUAAACUGUCUUGCUUCUUCUUUACAGCUUCUCUGUGGUGCCCUCAAAAUCAAGAUUCUAGCUAGCUAGCUUCCUUCACAAAUGAAAGUUAUAAAUGUCUUCCUUAAGGUAAGCUUCCCUUAUGCUAAUUAAUACCUUUACGUAUAUUUUAAUAUUUAUAUAUUUUAUGGUCUUCAUUCGCUCAAGUGGGUACAAAUCAAUAAACCAAAAUAAUUUACAAUAAGCUAAAUUAGAAAAUACACUCUCCCAAAAUUUUUACCCAAAAAAUGAUAAAUUAAAGAUAAUAUAUAUAUAUAUAUAUGUUUUUUAAUUAAAAAAAAAAAUAUAUAUAUAUAUAUAUGUAAGUAAUAAAUAAAUAAUAUCAAAAUCAAUAAGCAAUUCAAAAUUUAAUAAAACUCAAAAUACUUGUCAAAUAUCAUAUAUCUCUAUGAUAAGCCAAAUCCAAAAUUUUAAUAAAAUUUUUAUUCUUAUUUUUCUAAAUUAUCUUCAUCCAACGUGUUGAAUAAAAAUAUUCAAAAAAAAUUGUUAUCCAUAUUAAUAUUAAUUAGAUUUAAAUGAGUAUUUAGGUAGGCUAGGAAUUGAUCUAUUAAUUUAAAAAUAAUUAAACUCCUUGAGAUUGAAUAUAAAAUAAUUUUAAUUCAUUACUCCUAAAAUUUUGCACGAAUAAACUCUUAACAUGUAAUAUAUGAACGAAAUUUAUAUUUUCAUCAAUAUUCACUUGUAAUAUUUAUUUUUUUUUAAUGUCGUAUGAUCAUAAAUUAUAUUAAAAAAAAAAUAUUUAGAGACGCAGAAUUAUUGCUUUCAACCAAAAGAUCACCGGAAGAGGGAGAUCUAGGAGCAUACAAAUGAUGUUAUGAUUUAAUUUUUUUAAAAAAAAAUUAAUAAUAAUGAAUUUUUACCAUAAAACAAGAAGAAUCUUAUGAUAUGUUAAUUAUAAUUACUUAUGUUUAGCGGCUAGAAGUUAGGCAAAACUUUUGAAAAAGAAUUUUAAAAAUUACUAAUAUUGUGAUUCGUAUUUUUUAACAUUAAAAUAUCAUAAUUUUUAUUAUUCAAAUCUUUUUACAAAAUAAAUCAAAAUUUAAACACUCGAUCUAAAAAUUACAUAGCACCAAUCCGAUGCAUACACUUUAAUACCAACUGUUUAUCAGCAACUUUUAAAGUCAAACUGCUGCUUUGAAAAUAUUUAGACUUAUAUUAUUAACAAUGUAUCUCUUCAUUUUUGUAUUAAAUUCUCACAUAUCUUUUAAAUGUGAUAUAGGAUAUCACAAAGCAAUGAGUUAUAUAUUGAGAUUCUUUUACGUAUAUAGUAUUUCCCGUAUAGAUUAUUUCUUAAAUGAGUUGAUAUGUGCAUAUAUAUAAAUAGAAGUCUCUUGUGAGCCCAAAAAUCAAUUAAUAGAAAAUUACAGUUUCUAUUAAAUAAACAACUCUCAACCAUUAACCACCAUUUCCAUUAUCACAUCAUUCCAGGAGUCCAUUGGCCCAGGCAAGCACCAGUGUAAGCAGUCAUUUUGAACCUUGGCAUUUUUGUCCUUCGCAAAUGGAUGGAACUCUCGAU